UAAGGAAUUUAAACUAUUUGCCCUAGAUUACAUAGCUAGUUAGAGGGGAAACCAGUAUUCAAAAUUUAGUUGGGCUGUCUCAAAAGAAAAUGCCUGUUCCAUAGCAUGUCCUAUACAACACAGAGGUGGCACAAUAACAGGCAAUGUAGAAGUGUCUCAGUGUGAAAGAAGGGAAGGGAGAAAAUGGGGGUAGAAUUUUCUGGAAAAGAAACAGAAGGCAAACUGAAGAAAAAGUAAUUUAAAAAUUUAUUGGGCUACUUUUAUUUCUAGUCAUAAAAAUGGAAAGUAUCAAAACUCAGGAAACUUUCUUAUAGUCUUGGUAAGUAUGAAUCAAAAAGUGAAGAGUAAUGAUUCAAGGGGAUAUUGGAAGUACCAGCGAAAAUAUAGCACCUGACCAGCUAAGCCAGAAAUUCCAAGGUGAAAAAAAUCUAAACUAGAUAAGCAGGCUACCAGCAAAUGUUAGAUGAGCUGUUUGAAAGGCGAAUGGAAGGCAGAAGGAAACUGACGCCUACCUGCCUAUGUCCAGCCUAGUUUUGUAUCUGGUCUUCUUGUAUCUUCCAUGUUAAACACAACAGAGUAUUACAGCAGAAUAAAAAUAUCUUAUGACAUGU
rnacentral:lncRNA from 1 species